rnacentral:rRNA from 1 species
CGCAGCCACGGUAAUACGGAGGGCGCGAGCGUUACCCGGAUUUACUGGGCGUAAAGGGCGUGUAGGCGGCCUGGGGCGUCCCAUGUGAAAGGCCACGGCUCAACCGUGGAGGAGCGUGGGAUACGCUCAGGCUAGAGGGUGGGAGAGGGUGGUGGAAUUCCCGGAGUAGCGGUGAAAUGCGCAGAUACCGGGAGGAACGCCGAUGGCGAAGGCAGCCACCUGGUCCACUUCUGACGCUGAGGCGCGAAAGCGUGGGGAGCAAACCGGAUUAGAUACCCCAGUAGUCCCUGUCUCUUAUACA